CAGUCGCCGCGGGAAUACAGAGGGUGCGAGCGUUAAUCGGAUUUACUGGGCGUAAAGCGUGCGUAGGCGGCUUCUUAAGUCGGAUGUGAAAUCCCUGAGCUUAACUUAGGAAUUGCAUUCGAUACUGGGAAGCUAGAGUAUGGGAGAGGAUGGUAGAAUUCCAGGUGUAGCGGUGAAAUGCGUAGAGAUCUGGAGGAAUACCGAUGGCGAAGGCAGCCAUCUGGCCUAAUACUGACGCUGAGGUACGAAAGCAUGGGGAGCAAACUGGAUUAGAUACCCCCGUAGUCCCUGUCUCUUAUAC
rnacentral:rRNA from 1 species